GACGAACGCUGGCGGCGUGCCUAAUACAUGCAAGUAGAACGCUGAAGAGAGGAGCUUGCUCUUCUUGGAUGAGUUGCGAACGGGUGAGUAACGCGUAGGUAACCUGCCUUGUAGCGGGGGAUAACUAUUGGAAACGAUAGCUAAUACCGCAUAACAAUGGAUGACACAUGUCAUUUAUUUGAAAGGGGCAAUUGCUCCACUACAAGAUGGACCUGCGUUGUAUUAGCUAGUAGGUGAGGUAAUGGCUCACCUAGGCGACGAUACAUAGCCGACCUGAGAGGGUGAUCGGCCACACUGGGACUGAGACACGGCCCAGACUCCCACGGGAGGCAGCAGUAGGGAAUCUUCGGCAAUGGGGGCAACCCUGACCGAGCAACGCCGCGUGAGUGAAGAAGGUUUUCGGAUCGUAAAGCUCGGUUGUAAGUCAAGAACGGGUGUGAGAGUGGAAAGUUCACACUGUGACGGUAGCUGACCAGAAAGGGACGGCUAACUACGUG
rnacentral:rRNA from 1 species